rnacentral:rRNA from 1 species
AUUGAACGCUGGCGGCAUGCCUUACACAUGCAAGUCGAACGGCAGCACGGGUGCUUGCACCUGGUGGCGAGUGGCGAACGGGUGAGUAAUACAUCGGAACGUACCUUAUCGUGGGGGAUAACGCAGCGAAAGUUGCGCUAAUACCGCAUACGCCCUGAGGGGGAAAGCGGGGGACCGUAAGGCCUCGCGCGAUUAGGGCGGCCGAUGUCUGAUUAGCUUGUUGGUGAGGUAAAAGCUCACCAAGGCGAUGAUCAGUAGCUGGUCUGAGAGGACGAUCAGCCACACUGGGACUGAGACACGGCCCAGACUCCUACGGGAGGCAGCAGUGGGGAAUUUUGGACAAUGGGGGCAACCCUGAUCCAGCAAUGCCGCGUGAGUGAAGAAGGCCUUCGGGUUGUAAAGCUCUUUUGUCAGGGAAGAACCAGCAGCUCUAACACAGUCUGCGAAUGACGGUACCUGAAGAAUAAGCACCGGCUAACUACGUGCCAGCAGCCGCCGUAA